AUUGAACGCUGGCGGCAUGCCUUACACAUGCAAGUCGAACGGCAGCGGACCUUCGGGUGCCGGCGAGUGGCGAACGGGUGAGUAAUAUAUCGGAACGUACCUUUCAGUGGGGGAUAACGUAGCGAAAGUUACGCUAAUACCGCAUAUUCUGUGAGCAGGAAAGCAGGGGAUCGCAAGACCUUGCGCUGAUUGAGCGGCCGAUAUCAGAUUAGCUAGUUGGUGAGGUAAAGGCUCACCAAGGCGACGAUCUGUAGCGGGUCUGAGAGGGUGAUCCGCCACACUGGAACUGAGACACGGUCCAGACUCCUACGGGAGGCAGCAGUGGGGAAUUUUGGACAAUGGGCGCAAGCCUGAUCCAGCCAUGCCGCGUGAGUGAAGAAGGCCUCGGUUG
rnacentral:rRNA from 1 species